rnacentral:rRNA from 1 species
UACGUAGGGUGCAAGCGUUAUCCGGAAUUAUUGGGCGUAAAGAGCUCGUAGGCGGUUUGUCGCGUCUGCCGUGAAAGUCCGGGGCUCAACUCCGGAUCUGCGGUGGGUACGGGCAGACUAGAGUGAUGUAGGGGGAGACUGGAAUUCCUGGUGUAGCGGUGGAAUGCGCAGAUAUCAGGAGGAACACCAAUAGCGAAGGCAGCUCGCUGGGACGGUAUUGACGCUAAGGCGCGAAAGCGUGGGGAGCAAACAGG